CCAUGUUGCAUCAUCGUCAUCGAUGCUUGCCUUUGGCUACAGAACGGGAAAGGCGAUGUACUCGAGCCUCCUCCGACGGCCAUGUAACGGCAGACAAAUGCUCCUGCUCACUUUUCCAGCAGCGAAACUCCUUCUUGGCUCGCUCCUCCUCGCCCUGGUGGCGCUACCCGGCUGGAGACCGCGGCUUCCGCGUCUGCUCGCAGAAGAAACGUACGUGUGGCGAAGCCGGAGACCAAGCGCCCGACCGCUCUUUGGGCACACGCAUCCGCGCGAUACGUCGGCGAGGCUGUAGGCCGUUUGCGAGGUUGCCGCCUUCUUGAGGUGCGGCCGCUGCAAGGCCGUACGCUAUCUGUGGAAACACAAGGUGAAAGCUUUCGGUAGGAUCCAUGGAUCUUGACUUCAGCAUGUGUUUUGGUUAUCUGAAAGUCAUGGACGUGACAUUACCAGAAAUCAAAUCAAAUAAGCGACGGUCAGUUUUCACUAUCCUACAAAUUACUUCAGAACUCUCUCCAUAUAAGUUCAUCUUUUUCAAAUUUAAAGCUUUCCAAAAGUCAGUUUCCGAGUUCCAGCCAAAUCCGGUGAACCACGCACCAACUUGGUCCACUUUCGCCAUAAUUGACACAAAUAUAAAUGAUUGUUUAUCCGCUUUGGACUUUUUUGCCUCUUAUGCUUUCUUAUUUUAAUGUACUGUUAAAUCUGGAGUUAUGUAAUCACCGUAAAUUCCCUUUUUGGGAACUAUGGGAAUAUAUUGGCUGGUGCAUUAUAACCCCUCCUUUGGGAACUAUGUCAUCUUGUAAGAAUUACAACUUUUUUGUUCUUACGAUGUUGUCUAGUCGUCAACAACCAUACCAGAAAGGAGAGUGCAAUCCAAAUUGGAUCAUCAAGCUGGGUUCUUCCAUGGCUCUAGUUACAUUCAAAACAAAGGCAGAGAGACUGUAAAGAAUCUGGAUAAGAUGGAGGCUUCUUUGUCUGCUAACAUAUCUGAGCAGCAGGGACAGUACUAAUUUACAGUUCCUAAGUUUCUGUUCAUUCUAAGCCAUCUCUGGAGGCAGUUUGAUGCUGCAAGAACCUACACAAGGCUGACUGAAGACGUGAAGCCUGUGAAGCUUCUGGCUAUAAGGGCAAAGCUAACACAACAGCUGAUAGGGAUGCCCUUUCUUCCGAGGUGCCCUUCUCUUUUUCUUAUGUCAACAUUUUUGGUAACUCCCAACAAUCCGUGGGCAUAUCCUGAGUUAGUGCCUAUGUGGUUGUGCUCUCAAGCUCAGAGAUCAACAUGUUGGCUGAAAGCCUCCACACCCUGAUUACUUGCAUGGACUAGGAAACUGAAACUGAUGACUGGAAAAAUACAAUGGAUCUCAUAUAUAUACAUGAUCCAGGGAGCAUUUAUUUAUAGUGGAUAUAUGGUUUCUUUUCCUGUGGGUGUUAGAGAGCAUUAUUGAUCAAUGGUUG